GUUUCGGCGGUUGCUGAGGGGAGGAGGCGGCUGGAGCGGCCGCUGCUGGGACUGCCAGCGGGCCUCGGCUCUGGUGACGAACUCGCCGCCGGUGCUCGCCAUCACCCCCCCGGCAGUAAAAUGGCAGCAGAAACUUGGAAGCAGCGGCCUUCCCCGCUGCAGCACGGCGCUUGGGCCCGCAGCUGGAGGGGCGUGCAGAGGGCCUUGCACUUCUAGAAGUAACUAAAAGCCGUUUAGCACCUAAAAACUCGAUGGCGUCUUACGUGCCAGCUUUCCUUGCCCAAUAGCUCAUUUUGGACAGGAUUGCCCAAAGCGUUUUCAUUCAACCCUACUUGUUGAGGAGAAUCUCAUUUGUAUACUCUUGCCACUUGAAAUGAACUCAGAGGUGGAAAGAGAAAAGUGAUCUACCAGAAUUCCACCGAAAGAGAGAUGGGCUGUUCCUUUACUGAAGAAAAGCAGAGGAACUUCAUAUAGCAAAAGUUAUCAAAAGUGUCCCUACUCAAGUGUUCUCAUACACUCCUGAAAGAACAAGCUGUGUGUAAGGAUGUUUCCUGGAGAAACAUAAGAGAAUUGAUCUGCUGCAGGCAAAGGGACACUUAACUUCCAUGUGACACCCUGCUGUACUUGGUGGUAUAUGCUAUUACAUGCAAUGAGUCUGAUUUCAGUCAACAGAACAAAACAUUUAGGCUUGUACUUUGGCACAGUGUGUAUACGUGUAUGACCAGUUGCCUUUAACAAGAGAUGCAUGUGCCCCUUGUGUCUUUAUCUAUGUAUAUAUGUAGAUGCAUAAAAACAGAUGUAAGCUGGAAAGGUAUUUUACAUUAAAAAAGUGUCUGCACAUAUGAAAAAGAUAGUGGUUUGUGUAAUCUGUAUAACUCAAAAAGUGGUUUCUAGAUAUGUCAUGUCUUCCUAAAGUGUUCUCUCUUUUAGUUACAAGUUCAGCUAAGUGAUCAAUGAAGAGUAAAACUAAAAUAGAUUGAGUUUAGCAACUAAAUAAGCCUGGAACAAUAAAAAUAAUUGUUAUCUUC